CGGGGUAUGGGGUAGUGGUAGCCCGCGUGCAUGGGGUGCAUGUAGUUCCGGUUCGAUUCCGGAUACCCCGACCA
rnacentral:tRNA from 5 species